rnacentral:rRNA from 1 species
GACGAACGCUGGCGGCGUGCCUAAUACAUGCAAGUCGAGCGGACGAAUCGAAAGCUUGCUUUUGAUUCGUUAGCGGCGGACGGGUGAGUAACACGUGGGCAACCUGCCCUGUAGACGGGGAUAACACCGAGAAAUCGGUGCUAAUACCGGAUAACACGAAAUGUCGCAUGACGUUUCGUUGAAAGACGGCGCAAGCUGUCGCUACAGGAUGGGCCCGCGGCGCAUUAGCUAGUUGGUGAGGUAACGGCUCACCAAGGCGACGAUGCGUAGCCGACCUGAGAGGGUGAUCGGCCACACUGGGACUGAGACACGGCCCAGAGUCCUACGGGAGGCAGCAGUAAGGAAUCUUCCGCAAUGGACGAAAGUCUGACGGAGCAACGCCGCGUGAGCGAAGAAGGCCUUCGGGUCGUAAAGCUCUGUUGUUAGGGAAGAACAAGUAACGCAGUAACUGGCGUUACCGUGACGGUACCUAACGAGAAAGCCACGGCUAACUACGUG